rnacentral:rRNA from 1 species
UACGUAGGGUGCAAGCGUUGUCCGGAAUUAUUGGGCGUAAAGAGCUCGUAGGCGGCCUGUUGCGUCCGCUGUGAAAGCCCGGGGCUUAACCCCGGGUCGCAGUGGAUACGGGCAGGCUAGAGGUAGGUAGGGGAGAAUGGAAUUCCUGGUGUAGCGGUGAAAUGCGCAGAUAUCGGGAGGAACACCGGUGGCGAAGGCGGGUCUCUGGGCCGUUACUGACGCUGAGGAGCGAAAGCGUGGGGAGCGAACAGG